rnacentral:rRNA from 1 species
GAUGAACGCUGGCGGCGUGCCUAAUACAUGCAAGUCGAACGCAUUGUGGUUGAAAUGAUAUGAAGAACUUGUUCAGAUUUGAUUUUCAACAUUGCAAUGAGUGGCGAACGGGUGAGUAACACGUGGGAAACCUACCUCUUAGCAGGGGAUAACAUUUGGAAACAAAUGCUAAUACCGUAUAAUAAUUAAAACCGCAUGGUUUUAGUUUAAAAGAUGGUCUUGCUAUCACUAAGAGAUGGUCCCGCGGUGUAUUAGUAGUUGGUGAGGUAAUGGCUCACCAAGACAAUGACACAUAGCCGAGUUGAGAGACUGACCGGCCACAAUGGGACUGAGACACGGCCCAUACUCCUACGGGAGGCAGCAGUAGGGAAUCUUCCACAAUGGACGAAAGUCUGAUGGAGCAACGCCGCGUGUGUGAUGAAGGGUUUCGGCUCGUAAAACACUGUUGUAAGAGAAGAAUGACAUUGAGAGUAACUGUUCAAUGUGUGACGGUAUC